GCUUGCUUUGGCAACACAAAUACUAAAAUUGGAAUGAUACAGAGAAGAUUAGCAUGCCCCUGCACAAGGAUGACACCCAAAUUCAUGAAGCAUUCCUUUUCUUU
rnacentral:snRNA from 1 species